rnacentral:antisense_RNA from 1 species
CUUCAGCGAGCCGAGGAGCAGCGGCUGCUCCGGGCUGUGCUCGCGGCCGUAGGUGGCCAGCAGCGCCUGUGCCUC